rnacentral:rRNA from 1 species
AAUUAUUAUUAGAUUUUUAAAUAAUUAUUCACGAAAUAAAUUGAGCUAAAUUUUUGGUAUUUUUGGAAAUUAUAACUAUAUGUUACAAAAUAUAUUAACUAAAUAGAUUUAGGGGUGAAAGGCCUAUCAAAUUUUAUGAUAUCUUGAAGUAUAUAAAAUAUAUCAAGUAUUUCUAAUUCAACUAUUGAAUGUUUAGGUUCAAUAGUAACAUUAUAUUUUUUAAAAAUUGUUCAAUUUUUUUAAGUAAAAUUGAGUUAGAGCAUAAAAUAUACAUCAAAUUUUAUUAUAUGAAUAUAAAUAUACUACGGUUAUUAAUAAACAUAAUCAUAUAUAAUGUAAUUAUUAGUAAUAAUUUAUUAAACUAUAUAAAGGAAUUCGGCAAGAAAAUUUUUCACCUGUUUAUCAAAAACAUAGCUUAUUGAAUAUCAUAAUAAGUAACCCCUGCUCAAUGGAAAUCUAAAUAGCCGCAGUACCUUGACUGUGCAAAGGUAGCAUAAUCAAUUGGCUUAUAAUUGAAGUCUGGAAUGAAUGGGUAAUCUGGAAAAUAACUGUCUUUAUUUGUAGUAUUUUGAAUUUACUUAUAAAGUGAAAAUACUUUAAUAUAAAUAUAAGACGAGAAGACCCUAGAAAUUUUUUGUUAAUAACUUUUGUUGGGGCGACAGGGUAACAUAUAAACUUACUUACAUUUAUAUAAAUCUUAUAAGGUACGUAACUAAAUUACUCUAGGGAUAACAGCAUAAUAUAUAAAAGUUUAUGACCUCGAUGUUGGACUAGGUAAUUAAAUAUUUAAAAGAUAUCUUAAUUUGCUCUGUUCGAGCAGUAUCACCUACAU